AUCAUUUUGUGGCUGAUAUGUGUGAUGAGGGGGUUUUCACACUCUUAUGUGGGAUGGGAAACGUCUUUAGAACAGUGGCACUUUACCUGUCUUAUA
rfam:Macaca mulatta chromosome 16, whole genome shotgun sequence.